UGUAUGUAUAUGCCAGAGUCGGAUUUCAACCUCUGGUUAAAUUCUUCGACCCGCGACAGCCACGAUUGCAACCCAACCGAUUCCGGCCACCCCUGGUUGGCGUACAGGAGGUGCUUGAAUCCUUUAGGCGGCAUGAACCACUCUCAGGUUAUUGAUUGCUAAACCGACGACAUAUGAAAGAGAAUCGAGGCUCGAAAACAUUGUGCUUACCGGCGACUUUUCGGCAUUUUCCGGCGACUCCGGUUGUCUUUGACUGCAAGUAAGGUUCUCUAAAGGCAGAGGUUGUCGACGUGAUGACAUUCAAAGUAUGCAGAGAAGAUAGUUGGUAUAUGUGUGCACCCUGCGAUUAGUUCAAAGUGAAUGGCACAAAGAUGAUCGAGGCCUCGAGUUUUGAAAUAUGAGGUUGAACAAUAUGACCAAGAACCUGGGAACGAAGAUAGGAAAUCUGGGAAUUUGGCCAUCUUGGUUAAGGUUGUCAACGAGUAGUUCGUGCUGCGCUGUUGAUACGAAUUCCGUAGUGUAAACAUGAAUGUUCAAUUCUACUUGUUGUGAAGGCCAGGAAAACUGAAGGUUGAUGCUUGAGGAGUUGAGAUCGAGUUUCAAUUCAAGGACAAAAUGGAAUGUGUAUAAAAAAAGUAAACAAUGUCCUGUAAGAAAUAAUUAUGAACUCAUCACUAUCAUGAAGGAAAUCUGCAUUGAUUGUUUGCUUUACUUGAAGGUUAAGUAAUGACAUUGUGAUAUGAGUUGAAUCUUGUAAUCUAUUGUG